UUCCGCCUAAAGAGAAGCUUGCGGCUGAUUAGCUUGUUGGUAAGGUAAUGGCUUACCAAGGCGACGAUCAGUAUCUGGUUUGAGAGGACGAUCAGACACACUGGAACUGAGACACGGUCCAGACUCCUACGGGAGGCAGCAGUGGGGAAUUUUCCGCAAUGGGCGAAAGCCUGACGGAGCAAUACCGCGUGAGGGAUGAAUGCCUAUGGGUUGUAAACCUCUUUUUUCAGGGAGGAACAAAAUGACGUGUACCUGAAGAAUAAGCAUCGGCUAACUCCGUGCCAGCAGCCGCGGUAAGACGGAGGAUGCAAGUGUUAUUCGGAAUCACUGGGCGUAAAGCGUCUGUAGGUGGUUUAAUAAGUCAACUGGUUAAAUCUUGAGGCUCAACCUCGAAACCGCAGUCGAAACUAUUU
rnacentral:rRNA from 1 species